rnacentral:rRNA from 1 species
UACGUAGGGUGCAAGCGUUGUCCGGAAUUAUUGGGCGUAAAGGGCUCGUAGGCGGUCCAUCGCGUCGGGAGUGAAAAGCUGGGGCUCAACCCCAGUCCUGCUUCCGAUACGGGUGGACUAGAGGUAUGGAGGGGAGAACGGAAUUCCUGGUGUAGCGGUGAAAUGCGCAGAUAUCAGGAGGAACACCGGUGGCGAAGGCGGUUCUCUGGGCAUUACCUGACGCUGAGGAGCGAAAGCGUGGGGAGCAAACAGG